AUGUUUCCUUUGCUCAUUAAACUCGUGGUCUGUAUUCUGGCGUUAUUUACGCUCGACAACAGACUGUUCCAGCUCGCCGGCAGAUUUCCUGCCGUCUUCAAGCUCUCCGGCCAUGGCGCCCCAUGCUUGGGCGUCGACCACGACUCGGCUGGCCUGUCGAGUCUACUUCGCUGGCUGGAGAAACCUCCGAUUCGCCCUCCUCGCCUUGCACCGCCUGGCCUGGACCCCCCAGAACCAGGACCGGAAUUACCACACGACAUGAAAAAAGACACCAUCUUCCAGCACCUCAACAUCGGCACGGAGAGGGCGUGGCGCGUUGUCGCCUGGUGUCAUCUCGUCGCUCUUCUGACUCUGUGGACAGCGACCAUGAUCCUGGCCUUCAGAGGAAGGUCCUCCCCUGACCUCGACCCGGCGCCCUCUUGCCCCUUGGCCCCCUUACCCCCAUCCUCUCUCGCCCCCAGACUGGCGGCCCCCCCAUUCUACAGGUUCUACCCCUGCUGGGACCCCCCUGCCCAGUCCAGCGCCCCCAGGGUCUCUUGCUCUCCUCCCCCUCAGGCCCUGCUCUCCGUCGCCUGCCUCCUCUGCUCUGUGCGUCUCCCUCCCUGCCGCCCCGCUGCCCUGAGCUCUUCUCUCUCUCUCACCCUCUCCCUCCGCUGUGCCCUGAAGCGGCUCCAGGGGACUGUCCGCACCCCCCCCCUGUCCCGCCCUGGCCGCCCCUCUCCCCUGCUGCCCCUCCCCCCUGCGCCCUCGCGGCCUCGUUCUCUCUGCCCCCUGGCGGCUGGGGCUGUCUCACUGAGGCUGCCUCCCCCGUCCUCAGCCUUCCUGCCCCGAUGCGUCCGGCUCGACCCUUUCCCUCCUCCGGCGCCCCUCCCUGACCCCGCGGUGCUCCGGAACGGCCCCCAGCUCUGCCUCUUCUCUCCGGACUGUGGGGCCCCCAUGGAGUUCUGGGAGCUGGAGGGGGAGAGCGCGGAGCCCGGUCCCAGUGGGCGUGUCGAGGAGAGCAGGGCAGCGUGGGAAGGAGGCGCGAGACGGCUGGACCCCCUGAACACGGAGCUGGAAGGGCUGUGGGACGGACUGGGCUUCCUGUGGGACAGGGACAGCAGCGACCCCUGCUGGUGGAGCGUGGAAGAGUGGGAAAUGGGCUGACUCACCAUCUGCCUGACAGACCGAACUCUUUCACGGAUUCAUGGGCCUGGCUUUUGGACUGACACUUAAAUUUGUUUUUAUAUAUAACCUUAACUUUUAAGUUAACAUUUAGGGAACAUUUAAUUCAUACUUGUUUAACCUUAAAAUUUCAAUGAACACCUGGUUAGAUUCAAGUAAAGUAUUUAGUUCUAAAAUGUUAAUUUUGCCUCAAUUAUUAAUUAUCUUUCUUUUCAACGUCAUGUGCUACUGUUUUGUGUUUAAUUUUAAAAACAAUAAAAAC
rnacentral:lncRNA from 1 species